rnacentral:ncRNA from 1 species
UAAAGGUUUGGUCCUAGCCUUACUAUUAAUUAUUAUUAUACUUACACAUGCAAGCCUCAUCUUCCCGGUGAAAAUGCCCUUAAUCUUUAAGGAAAAAGGAGCAGAUAUCAGGCAAAACCCACAACAUCUUGCUAAGCCACACCCUCAAGGGAAUUCAGCAGUGAUUAACUUUGAUCAAUAAGCGAAAGCUUGAAUCAGUAAUAAUUCAAAGGGUCGGUUAAUCUCGUGCCAGCCACCGCGGUUAUACGAAAGACUCAAAUUAAUAUAAACGGCACAAAGGGUGGUUAAAGACUGUACAUAAAUAAAAUUAAAAAUUAACUAAACUGUUAUACGUAGUAGUUAAAUGUAAGCCCAAUAACGAAAGUAAUUUUAAUAAAAUCUACUUGAACCCACAAUAGUUAGAACACAAACUGGGAUUAGAUACCCCACUAUGUCUAACCUUAAACUUUGAUUAUUCGCCAGAAUACUACGAGCCACAGCUUAAAAUUCAAAGGACUUGGCGGUGCUCUAUAUCCCCCUAGAGGAGCCUGUUCUAUAAUCGAUAUUCCACGAUAAACCUCACCAUCUUUUGCUAAACAGCCUAUAUACCACCGUCUAGCUUACCCUCUAAAGGAAAAAUAGUGAGCAAAAUAAUAAACAUUAGAAAGACAGGUCAAGGUGUAGCCUAUAUGAUGGGAAGAAAUGGGCUACAUUUUUUUACCAAAAAACACAAAAGAAAGAAUGAAAAAUUUUCUGAAGGCGGAUUUAGCAGUAAAAAGAAAUUAUUAUGUUCUCUUUAAACAGGCAAUAGAGCGCGCACACACCGCCCGUCACCCUCCUCAAACAACAACAACCAUUAAAUAAAUAAAUAAAAUAUAUAAGAAGAGGAAAGUCGUAACAUGGUAAGCUCACUGGAAAGUGAUCUUGGA